rnacentral:tRNA from 1 species
GCCCCGGAAGCUGACUUGGUACGCAAGCGCCGGUCUGAAGCACCGGAGGUGUUGGUUCGAUUCCAACCCGGGGUG